CGGUGUUCAACUGGCGUGCCCGCGGGACGUCCUGCCGGUGAGCUCAGCCCGCGAGGGCGGCUCAACUUGAAAUCCCAUCGCGGUGCUCUUCAUUGAGUGUCGAGGUGGGCCGGCACGAUUACUUUUGAACAAAUUAGAGUGCUUAAAGCAGGCUAAAAUUUUGCCUGAAUACUGUGUAUAUGGAAUAAUGGAAUAGGACCUCGGUUCUAUUUUGUUGGUUUUCGGAACCCCGAGGUAAUGAUUAAUAGGAACGGAUGGGGGCAUUCGUAUUGCGACGUUAGAGGUGGAAUUCUUGGAUCGUCGCAAGACGGACUAAAGCGAAAGCAUUUGCCAAAAACGCUUUCAUUGAUCAAGAACGAAAGUUAGAGGUUCGAAGGCGAUCAGAUACCGCCCUAGUUCUAACCAUAAACUAUGCCAGCUAGCGAUCCGCCGACGUCCCUCUGAUGACUCGGCGGGCAGCUUCCGGGAAACCAAAGCUUUUGGGUUCCGGGGGAAGUAUGGUUGCAAAGCUGAAACUUAAAGGAAUUGACGGAAGGGCACCACCAGGAGUGGAGCCUGCGGCUUAAUUUGACUCAACACGGGAAACCUCACCAGGCCCAGACACUGGAAGGAUUGACAGAUUGAGAGCUCUUUCUUGAUUCAGUGGGUGGUGGUGCAUGGCCGUUCUUAGUCGGUGGAGCGAUUUGUCAGGUUAAUUCCGAUAACGGACGAGACUCUGACCUGAUAACUAGACGCACUUGCGGCAUCUCAAAGGUCCGCCGGCGGCUGGCUUUGCGCCCGUCGUCGCGCGCGAUUUUUACUGCCGGCGUACAAUAAAUUCUUCUAGAGGGACAAGUGG
rnacentral:rRNA from 1 species